rnacentral:rRNA from 1 species
UUUAGAGUUUGAUCCUGGCUCAGGAUGAACGCUGGCGGCGUGCCUAAUACAUGCAAGUCGAGCGAAUGGAUUGAGAGCUUGCUCUCAAGAAGUUAGCGGCGGACGGGUGAGUAACACGUGGGUAACCUGCCCAUAAGACUGGGAUAACUCCGGGAAACCGGGGCUAAUACCGGAUAACAUUUUGAACUGCAUGGUUCGAAAUUGAAAGGCGGCUUCGGCUGUCACUUAUGGAUGGACCCGCGUCGCAUUAGCUAGUUGGUGAGGUAACGGCUCACCAAGGCAACGAUGCGUAGCCGACCUGAGAGGGUGAUCGGCCACACUGGGACUGAGACACGGCCCAGACUCCUACGGGAGGCAGCAGUAGGGAAUCUUCCGCAAUGGACGAAAGUCUGACGGAGCAACGCCGCGUGAGUGAUGAAGGCUUUCGGGUCGUAAAACUCUGUUGUUAGGGAAGAACAAGUGCUAGUUGAAUAAGCUGGCACCUUGACCGGGAACCCCUAA